rnacentral:rRNA from 1 species
AUAGCUAAUUCACAUAAAGAUGUUGGUACAAUGUACUUAAUGUUGGGAAUGUGGUCUGGGUUCGGUGGGUUAAAUCUUAGUUGGAUAAUGCGGUUGGAGUUAAGGCGUCCGGGGAUGUGGCUUCCUAGCUCUGAGGUGUAUAACGGAAUUGUUACACUUCACGCUAUUAUAAUAAUUUUCUUUUUUGUAAUGCCUGUUUUAAUUGGUGGGUUUGGUAAUUGGCUCUUGCCUAUGAUGUUGGGUGCCAUUGAUAUGAGGUUCCCGCGGCUGAAUACUUUUAGUUUUUGGGUGCUGCCUCCUGCCCUUUACUUAGUGAUUGUUUCUUGUUUUAUUGAUUAUGGAAGGGGGACGGGGUGGACUAUGUACCCUCCGUUAUCUAGCACUCCUUAUUCGGGGGGCAUAAGAACAGAUUUGAUAAUCUUGGGUCUUCAUUUGGCGGGGAUUAGGUCAUCUGCCGCUUCAAUUAACUAUUUAGUUACUUUCUUAAAUGUUCGAAGAAAGACAUUUAAAGCUGAGUAUUGCCCCCCUUUCGUUUGGGCGCUUUCUGUUACGAGGUUCUUACUGUUGGUUUCCCUUCCAGUUUUAGCUGGGGGGCUAACUAUGCUGAUCAUGGACCGUCAUUUCAAUUGCAGGUUUUUUGACCCUUCUGGAGGGGGUGAUCCAGUUUUGUUUCAACACCUUUUUUGGUUCUUUGGCCAUCCAGAGGUUUAUGUUCUGAUCUUGCCUGGGUUUGGAUUGGUUUCUCAUGUGUUAGUAUUUUAUACUAAGAAGCUACGAGUUUUUGGUUCGGUGGCGAUGAUGUAUGCUAUGAUUUCUAUUGGUGUUUUAGGCUUUAUUGUAUGGGGGCACCAUAUGUAUACUGUAGGACUAGAUGUAGAUACGCGAUUCUACUUCACAGCGGUUACUAUGUUGAUUGCUGUGCCUACUGGGGUUAAAGUCUUCAGGUGGAUCGCUACUAUUUACGGCUCUCACUUGAGGUUUGAAGCUCCUGUGCUUUGGGUCUUGGGCUUUAUUGUAAAGUUUACUAUGGGGGGAAUUACGGGGGUUAUUCUGUCAAAUGCGUGUCUUGAUGUGGCUUUACACGACACCUAUUAUGUAGUAGCCCAUUUCCAUUAUGUUCUAUCUAUGGGGGCUGUUUUUACUAUUUUUGCUGGGUAUGUUCAUUACUUCCCCUUGUUUACUGGAAACUGCCUUCACCGUUCUUGGGCGCGUGGUCAUUUCUUUUUAACUUUUGUGGGGGUAAACCUAACUUUCUUUCCUCAGCAUUUUCUGGGACUAGGAGGGAUGCCACGUCGUAUUCCCGACUAUCCUAUUUUCUACUACUACUGGAAUCAGUGGAGGACAAUUGGUUGUGCUAUGGUAAUGGUUAGGGUAUCUCUAUUUAUUUUCAUGCAAUGGGAAGCAUUUUUUAGUGGUCGACGUCCUUUGUUGGUUGGCAAUCGUCCAAGGUCUCUAGAGUGGGUGGUUAAUCGAGGUUUUUCUUGUGUUGCUCGUCAUACAUUCACUGAGGUUAUGGCCUUGCGAAUUAUGCAUGAUGCUACUGCUUUUCGGAAAGAAAGCUUGGCUCAGCUAAACGAAGAGAAGGUAAGCCAUACUAGGUAACCUUGGAUAGUUUAAUAAAACGUAGUGUUGAAGCCGCUGAGUUGGGCUUCGCCCUCCGGGGGCGCAGGUCCAGGUGCGGAAAGAAUGGUUUGAACCUAUUCUUAGGGGGCGCAGCAACCUCCCUUGCGUUCGUGCCAAGGUAGUAUAAGUAGUGCGCCUGUUUUUCGUGCGGGUGGAGGCUUGGUGGCCUCUUGGUUGGUGCCUCAUUUUGAGCCGAUGCUUUGGUCAGUUUGGUUUGUAAUUAUUUUGGUUAGUGGACUUUCUUUUUUUUGUGCUUUGUGGUGGGUACACGUUCCACGGACUACUGUUGGAGUAGUUAAAAAGCUAAGAUCUCCUGCUAGCAAAUGGUAGAAGUAGUGGUGGUUUGGUUUUUAAUAUGGGUAGUAGUAAUAACCUUGAUUUUCGGGGCAGCCUCGCUGGUUAACCCCCAAGCUGUAGGAGCUGCGUGUUUACUUCUGGUUUUGUUAAGGUGCCUAAUUUUUGGUUACAGGGGGCCUGUGUGGCUAAGGCACUUUAUUUUUUUAGCGUUUUUAGGGGGACUAAUAGUUGUCUUUCUAUAUGCUGUUUCGCUGGCGCCCAGGCCAUUUUUCAAAGGUGUUGUGGGGCAAGUUAAAACGCCACUCAAGAUGUUAGGCGCAGCUUUUUUUUUCUUUUUUUUCCUUUGUUUUUAUGAAGGGUGAUUUAGGGCUGGGAGUGUGCUUUUAGGCGGAUUAAUUGAGAGUCCUUCUUUGAGUGGCGGGGAGAUGGUGGAUAGAAGGUGGGUUAGAAGACUCUCUUUUGUUUUCUUGGCCUUGGUCUUAGCUAUUUGCAUGGUAUCAGUAACUAAGCUUUGUAGCUAUAACAGAGGUGGCUCUUUGCGAGGAAUGCGGAGUAAGAUGGAUUAGUAGGGGUGGCAGAAUUUAUGUGUUCGUUUUAAGCUCGAAAGAUGAGCUUCGGCUCCCCUUACUGUUGACUAAAAAUAUUUCUAUUGGUUCGGGUGCUAUUUACCCAGUAGUUAAAGGUACGUUUUACGACUUACCUUGCCCGGCUAACUUAAGGGUUUGGUGGGGGUUGGGGUCUUUGUUGGGCGUGUGUGUAGCAGGCCAGGUAUUGACUGGCUGGUUUCUAUCAUUUUACUACACCGCUCAUGAGGACUUGGCUUAUAGGAGGGUCAUCUUCAUUAUGAAAGAAGUUAAUUUUGGGUGGUUAAUGCGCAGGUUCCAUAUCAAUGUUGCUAAUUUUAUGUUUGUGUGUCUCUACUUCCACGUUGGUCGGGGGAUUUAUUAUGGGUCCUUUCGGAUGUACAAAGUAUGGGCCACAGGUGUGGUUUUACUUCUAUUAGUAAUGCUUACUGCCUUUACCGGCUAUGUUCUGCCCUGGAGUCAAAUAGCGUAUUGGGCUGCUCAGGUGAUUAGCAGAAUGGUGACAGCUGUUCCUGUUUUUGGGGGGGAUAUUGCUAUGUGGGUCUGGGGGGGUUAUGCUGUUGGCAACAUUACUCUUAAGCGUUUGUUUAGGAUUCACUUUCUUCUUCCCUUCGUAAUUCUUGGGUUGUUCUUUCUACACCUGAUCUUUCUUCAUGUGACGGGGUCAGGAAACCCUCUUGGGUUGGACAGAGAGUGCAACUUAGUGCGUUUUCAUAGGUUCUUUACUGUUAAAGAUCUCGUGGGGGUUAGGGGAGGUCUUCUUAUUGUUGUUUUUAUAAUUAGUUUCUAUCCCUACAGCCUUUUAGAUGGAGGUAGGUUUAUUGCUUGUGAUUAUAUAGAAACACCUGCUAGGAUCCACCCUGAGUGGUACUUUUUAUUUGCUUAUGCUAUUUUACGUUCCGUACCUAACAAGAUUGGCGGAAUUGUAUUAUUGUUGCUUUCUAUUUUAGUUCUGUUUGUCCUACCAGAGAUUUGGUGUGGUAAGAUAGAAGGUUUUUGUUUCUAUCCUGGCUGUCAGUUUCUAUUCUGGACUUGGAUUUUUAACUUUAUCAUCUUAACCUACGUAGGAAGCCAAGGUGUGGACCAGCCGUUUGUAAUGGCUGGGGAGUGGGGGACUAUUUACUAUUUCCUCUUUUUUCCUUUAGUUGGGAUUAUGCAGCACUUGGAGGAUACUUUUAGAAAGAAGAGGCAGUACGCGUCUUAGGUGCUAGAGUGGAGCCAAACUAGGUUGCCUGAGCCGGCUUCCGUACAAGCUUUCAACCUUCAAAUUGUCUAUGAAGGUUGCUUGGUUGUUGCUGUUUUUAUUUCUUUUGUUGUUCUUUUUUUCAUGCGAAUAGUAGUGUUUAACACAGCUACGUGCAGAGUUUACUUAGAGUGCGGACGUCUCGAAGUUUUUUGGUCAGUGCUGCCAUUUAUCUUUUUAGUCUGUAUUUGUUCUAUCUCUGUCUUUGCCCUUUAUGUCAAUGAUGAGACCAACGAGGAUCCUUUAGUUGAUGUAGUAGUAGUUGGGCAUCAAUGGUAUUGGAGGUAUCAGGUUGGGGUUGAUGGAGGCCCAGAGGUAUUUAAGUGGGAUUCUCGAAUUGUAAGUCGAAGGGUUGAUAGUCCUAUGGACUUUCAGGAUUAUUGGACUGUUGAUCGUCCUUUGCCUGUUCCAGUUGGAGGGGUUACUCGGGUUUUAGUUACUAGGGAGGAUGUGCUCCAUAGAUGGGGUGCUCCUCGUUUGCAUUUAAAGAUUGAUGCGAUUCCUGGACGCUUAACGCGGGGCUUAUUUGAGCUGAAGCUUCCCGGAGUAAUUAAGGGAAUGUGUGUAGAGCUUUGCGGUGCAUAUCAUUCGAUGAUGCCCACUAUUAUUGAGGGUUUGGGAGAGGCUGAUUUUUGGCAAUGGGCUAGGCGGUCUUCUUAGAAGGUGUCUUUUUUCUUGGAGUCUAGGCAGCUAGUGGGAAUUAGCGGCCUAAGAGUAAUAAGUGUAUUUUCUUUUUCUAUGUUUUUGGGAGGUUGGUUAGCUUUCGGGGCCCAAUUUAAGCAUAUUCUUUCUGCCCUUUUAUGCGUUGAGGUGGUUUUGGUGGGAGUUUUAGGUGGGAUCUGUGCUAGGGUACCAGUAUCUUCUGGCUAUCUUUUUUUUUACGUUCUAGGGUUAGGCGUGUGCGAGUCGGCUCUUGGGCUUUCCUUAUUGGUGGUCUAUGCUCGUAAGCACGGAGGGGACAUAUUCAAAGGGCUGGAUUCUACUAGCGGGUAGUGAAACGUUGUCCCUUUCAUCGCGUUGACCAGAGUCCUUGGCCUUUAUUAACAGCAUGAAGGCUGGGGAUUUCUGCAAUAAUGUUUGUGCAGUUCUUACACGGGGACCCAUUCUAUCGUGUUCUAGUAGGACUGGGGUUGGUAGUAACUUGUGUUUAUUGGUGGUUUUCUGAUAUUAUCUCGGAGGCAACUUUUAUGGGGAAGCAUACUCGCCGUGUGCAGCGAGGAAUUCGAAUCGGCUUCUGUAUGUUUUUAAUCAGGGAGACAAUAUUUUUUGCUUCUUUUUUUUGGGCAUUCUUUCAUAGAGCUUUAGCCCCAGGAGUAGCUUUAGGGUUUUUUUGGCCCCAGGAGGUUUACACUAUGCCGUGCUGGGGAUUGCCCUUACUUAAUACUAGGCUUCUUCUAAGAACGGUCUUUCCUUGUAAUAUGGCUCAGGCGGCCAUCAAAGCUGGCGAGCUGAAGAUUGCUUUAAACACGUUAGGGUUGGUAAUAAUCUUAGGCGGAUGUUUUGUGCUGGUUCAAGGCUACGAAAUUUUUACGGCUAAGUUUACCCUUGCUGAUGGGGUUUAUGGGUGCUGCUUUUUCUCUUUGACCGGCCUUCACGGGUUGCAUGUAGUGGGAGGCUUGUUCUUUCUCUUUAUCGCUUGGAGACGAGCUCGAUUAGGCCAUUUCUCCAGGUCUCGUCAUUUGAAUUUAACUUUCUCAAUUUGGUAUUGGCACUUUGUUGACAUCAUUUGAAUUUUUGUAUUUUCUUUUAUCUAUGUUUGGAGCAAUCUAGGAUGGCAGUGGACUUUUAGUGAUGUGUUCUCAUCUUUGCCGUUUUAGAGUUGGUGGAUAUAUUUUGGCUAGUCUUAUUAAUUUGUACAGUGAUUGUAGCGGCUUUGGGAGGACUUAGUCAUUGGCUGUCCCAUCUGUGGGUGCGGGAUUCCCAAAAGGCUUCUCCCUACGAAUGUGGUUUUGAUCCAUUUUCUUCUUCUCGGUCUCCUUUUUCCGUUCGGUUUUACAUGGUGGCUAUUUUGUUCCUAGUCUUUGAGGUUGAAUCUUUAUUGUUUUUUUCAGCUCUCCAUGCCUAUUGUGUGGGUGUGGAAGAUGUGGGCAUGUACAGAUGAGGGUUUUUAGUUCUUCUUGUAUUAGGCUUAGCCUAUGAGCUAUUUCGAGGGGCCUUAGAAUGGUCUAAGGAUUAGGCGGGAAGUUGACUUAGCAUUGACUUCUAAUCUGUUGCUAGAGAGGGUAUCGAACUUUCUCCCGUCUAGGGCGUUAGUCUAAUUUGGACGCCCCGCUGUUAACGGGGAGGUGGGAGUUGUCUCACGUCCUGCAUGUUGGCAAUUUUGCUUAGGUUGCUUCCUUUUUCAGGUAUGAUGGGCUGCUGGCAGUUCUUUUUAGUCUGUUUCUUGUCUUCUCCUUUUAUUUUAUUUCGAGGUUCUCUAGAAGGCCACGUGUUAAGGAGAAUCUUUAUAGUUGAUGAGUGAAGCGGUUCACUUAUUUUUCUGAGGUUUUGGUUGGGGGCUUUAAUGAUGAUGGCUGCAAAGCCGCGGAUUAGGGGCCUCUGUGUAUGAGGCGUAGUUAUUUGCUGCUUUUUAGCAUUUUCUUGUUGAAGGUUUGUCUGGUUUUAUGUCUUCUUUGAACUGACUCUAGUGCCGAUGGCCUAUAUAAUUGUAAAGUGGGGGAGACAGCCAGAGCGGGUAUCCGCUACAUUCUACAUAUUUUUAUAUACUUUAAGAGGGUCUUUGCCUUUUCUAAUUUUUCUUGUCAGAUACUACUACAGAAGGUAUUCUUCUUUUAUAGGGUUCAGAUGAGAUGUGGCUAGAAGAAUGGGGGUGUGGGGCUGUGCUGUUGUAGUGGUUUUUUUUGUUAAAAUUCCCUGCUAUCCCUUCCAUUUGUGGUUAACUAAGGCGCAUGUUGAGGCUCCCACUGCUGGUUCUAUGGCUUUAGCUGGGCUGUUGUUGAAGUUAGGAGGGUUUGGUCUUAUGCGAGCUAUAGGCUGCUUUGGUCAGUUGAGGUUCUCUUUGCAAGUUUUUUGGGCUAAUGUUGGUAUUUGGGGGGGUGUAUUAAGAUCUGUUGCAUGCCUACGUCAGAUUGAUAGAAAGUCUCUAGUGGCUUAUUCUUCUGUUGGGCACAUAAGCUUAGUUCAGUUAGCAAUUCUUAGGGGAACAAUUGUAGGAUGGGUGGGCGCCCUUUAUAUAAUAAUUGCCCACGGGCUAAGGUUUUUUGGGCUAUUCAGGGUCCUUGGAGAAUUUUACGGAAAAGUAAAGAGGCGUAGGCUUGUAGUUUAUGGGGGGCUUGAAAUGGUUUAUCCAGGCAGAAAUUUGUGAUGGUGCCUUUUGAUUGUGUGCUCAAUAAGAUGCCCUCCUAGGCUAGGGUUCUUAGGAGAGGUGAUAAUAGGAAUGAGAAUUUGUAGGAUCUUUCCUUUUGGCUAUGUGCUCUGUUUUAUCUUACUUUUUUUCUUUGGAGGGGCCAGAAUAAUGGUGUUGUACACCAGAGUGAUGCAUGGCAGAUUUUCAACUGCUCUUAUUCCAAGGGGGGUGGGGAUUUCGAAAUGUAGUUAUCUUGGAAUAUUUCAUGGUGUGCCGUUAAUUAUUUUGUUUUUUUUACCUGCAUUCUUGUCUUUGCGGGCUCUUAGGGGCGUUCUUUAAAGAAGUAGAGCGAAAGCUCGCGCAUUGUUGAUAGAGUAGGAGAGAAGGAAGUAGAAAACCGGAUUAAGCUGGUGGCGGGGAGCGAUGAGAUCGUUCAAGACCCGGGACAAGGCUAAGAAAAAAGGUCCCCCGAUCGUAACUAGGGUGCAAUGCGUUCGACUACACAUUCUGUCAUUUCCUAGGAGGCCGAACCCUAGCCUAAUUCGUGGCUUUUCCUAUGGGAGCAUGUCUUAGGUCUCUCUCAAAAGAGAAGAGAAGGAAGUAGAAACCGAGUUUGAUAGAAGUCAGAAUGAAGAUGGUCUGUACCGGGGCAUGGCCAAAGAGACAAAAGCCUCCCGUUUGCAGCUCAAGGUUCGAUUGUUCGACCGCGCGCCUCCGUCGUUUUAAGUAAGGCCGAACCCUACCCCGAAAAUCAUACCCUUAUUAAGGGGAAUUAUCAAAAUUUUUGAAAUUUAUACUUUUUUUUUAUAUUACAAGUGGCCUUUUUUUUAUAAAAUUUUACUUAAAACUCUUUUAAUAUGCCUAAAGUUUAGAAAUUUUUGGCGUCUAACUCACCCCCCUUUUUUUUGGCCUCAAAAAGGACCAAAAAAAGGCCAAAAAUGGCCAAAAACUGCCAAAAAACCAUCACCUAAAAAAUAAAAUCUUAAACUUUUAUGGUUUUUUAAAAAAUUCUGGAAAAUGAAAACCUUCUCUACUUUUGCGAUUAAUUACUUGAAAGUUAGUGAACUUUUUUAAAAAAAGUUUUUUAUUUUUUUUGUUUUUUUUUUCCAUUUUUUUAUGAUUUGACCGAAGUUCGUUGAAAUUUUAGUAGUAAAACAGGAAUUUAGUCGUAGCCCCUUUUCUUUUUUUUCCUUUUUUUUUUUUUCUUUUUUUCUUGAGGUCCUUGAAAUUUACUUACAAAGGUAAAAAGCGUAUAACCAAAAAAAGUUGGACUUUUUCGAGGUUUUUGGGGUUGGUUUUUUGUUUUUAUUUUUUACGGUAUUUUGUAUAAAAAAGAGCUUCAUGGCGAAAAGGCAGUUUUCUUCGUAAUCUUCAUAAAUUAUUAAAGGUUUUUUACAAAAUUUUAAAAGAAUUUUUUUGUAAAAUAGCGUUUUCUAAUAUUUUUUUUUUUUGGAAUAAGGGGGGGGAAUCGGAAGAUUUCUCCCCCCCCCCCCCCCCCAAAAAAAAAAAAAUUUUUUUUUAGGAAAGAGGGGGGGGGGGGGGGGGUAAGUUGAGAAUUCGUAAUUUCAGAUUUUCGUGGAGAUUGGUGGUGAUUAGGAUCAUUCUUAGAUUAUCUAGGCCCACUUGGUUUGGCGCUUGGGUAGGAAUGGAAAUAAACUUGUUUGGUGCUGUGGCACUAAUGGUUGGGAGCACCAAGCUGUCGGUCGACUCUGUGUUUAAAUACUUUUUUGCUCAGAGCUUUGGUUCUAGGGUUAUUAUUAUAGGUUUAGUUAUAGGGGGGUGGGUAGGUUUAGGGCCUGUGAUAGCAUGUUUGGUGCUGGGGUUAAUGGUUAAGGUUGGUGCUGCCCCUUUUCACUUUUGGGUUGUGGAGGUUCUUAAAGGUAUUCGUGUGGAGUGCAUGUGGUUUCUUCUAACGGUUCAAAAACUGGUUCCUUUGAUGCUGGUGACCCAAGUUGGUCAGGGAAGAUGGGCUCUAUUUGUUUGUAGGGGGCUGAGUGUUUUAGUUGGUUCUAUUAGAGGCGUUGGUGCUACUAGACUUUCUCGCUUAGUUGGUUACUCUUCUAUUGCCCAUACUGGCUGGAGUCUGGCUGCUUGUAUUAGAGGAAUAAGAGUUCUUUGGUUUUAUCUUUUGGCGUAUUGGAUUUCUUUGACAGGGUUUCUUCGGUUUAGCAAGGGAGAUUGGCGCCUUUCUUCUUGAGGAGGGGAAGGCUUAGCUAGUUGUUUCUUCUUGUUUUCUUUGGGGGGGUUCCCCCCUUUUUUAGGGUUUUUCGGCAAACUUGCGGUUAUAGUGGCCGUAGUUGGGGCUUGCCCUCUACUUCUUAUUCCUUUAGCCGUCGGGUCCGUUGUUAGUUGGGGAUAUUAUCUUUUUGUCGUGAGAUUUUCAGUGAUUCAAAGCAGCCUGGUGACUACGUCUUCUAGCCGCCUAUUAGUGCCGAUGUUGGUAAUAAGUGUUCCUUACUUGAUGGGUAUGCACUUGGUGCUGUAGAUUGAGAAGUGGUGAAAACAUCACGGGUAGUUGUCAUUUAUCAGUUGCGACUAGUCGCCUUCUCAUCAGUGUUGAGCCGGGACUUAGCGGGUUACUUUGAUGUGGUAACGUUCGAGAGUUUGGAUCUCUCCAGCACUUGGCUUCUGUGGUGUAAUGCAUGAAGGGUUGUGGUCUCUUUGGUGAACGUUUGGUUCCAGGGGUCCGUCGGGAGCUAGGUUAAUUUAAACUCUGAGUUUCCAAAACUCAAAAUGGUGGAAGUCCGCCGCUUCUGCGAGAAGAAGUAUAUUAGUACAUUGGGUUUGGGACUCAAAGGUCUCCUAAGGGGGUUUCUCGUGUGUUGGUGGGGCGUUAUUGUCGCAGAUUUUGUCGGUUCAUGUCCUUUUUUAGGUUUCUAGGUGCGCUUUCUUUGGGGGGAGAUAGGGUUGUUUUUAGGUGGGAGGUCGUGCGUUUUAGGUCCUUGAGCCUAAGGAUUGACUUUUAUUUGGAUGCUGUCGGGUUGGUUUUUAGGGGUGUGGUGCUUUAUAUUGCUAAAAGGGUUUUUCACUUUAGGGAUGCUUAUAUGGGGUCUUCGGUCCACCCUAUUCGGUUUCACAGGCUUUUAAUAUGUUUUGUUAUCUCUAUAAUCCUUUUCAUUUUCAUUCCUAACUUAUUCGGGCUUAUAAUUGGUUGGGACGGUUUAGGUAUCUUCUCCUUUUUAUUGGUUCUGUUCUAUCCGUGUCAUAGUUCUUUGAGUGCGGGGCUAAUUACUGGCCUAACUAACCGGCUUGGAGAUAGGUUCUUGAUUUUGGCGUUAUUCUUUAGGCUUUUAGUAUGGGGAAGAAGAAGGUUAGGCGCAGGUUUUUUAGGGGUAGCUAGGUUUAGGCUAGUUAUUGGAGGAAUGACUAAGAGAGCCCAGUUUCCGUUUUGUAGUUGGUUGCCUCGGGCUAUAGCCGCUCCUACUCCGGUUUCCUCUUUGGUUCAUUCCUCUACCUUAGUCACCGCCGGAGUCUUUUUAAUAGUUCGUUACCAUGAUAGGCUUAGAGGAAGAUCUCUGUCUCUUCUUCAGUGGGCCUCCUUGAUAACUAUGCUUAUUAGGGGCCUCAAUGCAUGUGUUGAAUACGAUAUAAAGAAGGUUGUAGCUUUAUCUACUUUGUCUCAGGUUUCUUUUAUAAUAUUUGCAGUAAGAAUAGGGUUCCCCCUUCUAGGCUUUUUUCACCUAAUUAGGCAUGCUGUUACUAAGGCGUUAUUAUUUAUUUGCGUGGGCUUGGUUAUUUUAAGGUAUAGGCAAGAUCUUCGUCGUUUAGGGGCUAGGUUUUUAGGGGCUGAGGGUAUUAAAUGGUAUUUUGGAGGUGCUUGCAUUGGUUUGUGCGGUUUUCCCUUUAUUAGGGGGUUUUACUCUAAAGAUGCAGUCAUCGAAUCUAUUUUUUUUAGGGGGGUUGGUUACUGUGGCUUUUUUAUUUUUUUUGUAAGAGUUUUGACUACCAGCUAUUAUAGGGCCCGUCUUUUCUUUUUUUGUUUUCUGUCGGGGUUGCUUGGAAGGGGGAAAGGGGGGGUUGGUUCUUUUCGUUAUGGAGGGUGUUCUGGUGCUUAUGACGUUCAUUGUUAUUGUUGGGGCCUUUUUUUACUGAGUGUUGGGUUAGGGGGAGUAAGGUUGUGGUUUUUUUAUGUAAUGCCCUGCAUGUUUCCUUGUCAUGUUAGAAAAGCACUAAUCCUUUCUAUUUGCCCCUUUGGGUUUUGGGCUUUUUGGCUCUUGGGAGGACAUAAGGAUGGUUUGGGGGUUCGUGAUGCUUUGGUGGUUGGGCGCAGGGGAUGGUCAUCAGGUCGAGAAAGGUUUGUUCGAGAGUUAGGGUUCUUAGAUGGGCUUAGGGGUCAGCCGCUGGUUUAUAGUGGAAUAGUUCUUUCGGAGGGGGUUAAUGCCUCUAUAGACCAGGGAUUGCUGGAAACUUAUGGUCCGGGGGGGGUUGCUCGUGCUUUUAAAUCUUUGCUUAACUAUAAUGAAACCAUGUGCAAUCACUGGCUUGCGCUUUUCUUUCUAGUGUACAUAGUGGAGGUUGUCUUCUGGAUUGGUAUUUCUUAGGUGGCUCUUGUUUUGAGGACUUAUUUUGAUCAGUUUGAUUGGAGGCUUAGGUUGGGCGGGGUCUUUUGUUUUCUCUUGCCGUAUUUUAUUGUUUACUCCUUUCUAAGUCCGGUGUUUUUGAGGAUGGGCAGGCUAGAGCUUGUUUUUAGAUGGUUCGUUCUUACUCUAGCUAAGUUCUUUAGCGAGCACGAAUGGACUAAGAAGGCCGGUAGAGCCCAUUUUUUGACUUUUAUUUCUGUCCUUUUGUUGAGUGUAAAUCUGGUUGGUAUGCUUCCUUUUAUUAAAGGAGUGAGGGUUAUACCUGUUUUUACGCUAAUUACGGGGCUUUCGUUGUGGAGUUUGGGCAGGUUGGCUACUGUUUGAGGCAUUGGUAAGUUUGCUAAGGGUGUUUGGGUUAAAGGGGCUCCUUUAGGCUUGAACUUGUUCGUCGUCUGUGCCGAACUUCUUAGGUGGACUAUUCGUCCUUUUAUCUUAGGAAUUCGACUUCUUGUUAACGUCUCUUGCGGUCAUAUUAUUUUGGCUCUUUUGGGGGAGUUAGUGAGCUUCUUUGCUUGGGAGGGUAAAGUGGUUGGGCUAAUUGCAACUGCUGCUGUUGGUUUUUGUAUUGGCGUUUUGGAGUGAAUUGUUAUGCUAGUUCAGGUUUUCGUUUUCGUGAGAAUUAUUGCUUGGUCUUGAGGGGAGGGAAGAAAGGGGCCUUACACAGUGUUUUGUCGCGCUAGGUGGACUUUGAUGCCUAAUAGUCGCCCUUAAAAUUUUGGGUCUCGUAGUUGAAUGACAAUAAUGAGUUGCAGCCUCGUAGGUGGGUACGUCCCUGAGAUCUAAUUUAGUGGGUGGCUGAAGAUAGGUGAAGGGCUGUAAACCUUUUUAUGGAAUUAAUUCCUCCACUAUCAUCUUUAGUUUAUCUAGAAUGGCGGUCUUGUAAAUCGCAGGGGCAGGCAAUUCUGCAGGGUGAUUGCUUCUUGGUGUAAUAAACACUUCUAAUUUGCACUUAGAGAAUGGGAAAUUUCCCAGAAGCAACGGGUUGGCAGAUAGAUGUGCUUGACUUAGGAUCAAGAGAGGGAGUUUUAGCUCCACCUGUUAAGCAAGUAGUAUAUUUUUAGUACACCGGGCUCAUGCCCCGAUGGAGGGAAAUUUUUUCCCCUGGCUUAAUGCUCAUUUCUGGUGUAAAAAGCAUGCGCGCCUUCCAAGUGUGAGGUCUUCUUGGGGAAGGGAGUGGGGCUGAUAGCUUAAUGAGAGUGUUGAACUUUUAAUUCAAAGGUAGGUUAAGAGCCUUCAGCCUAAAUGUUAGUUUGGUUCUGGUUACCUAGUUUAGUUAACACCUGGUCAAUUAACACAUGGUAGUAAAGGCGUAGAAUGAGUGAGGUGAAAGGCUUGGGAAAGAAGCGGUAGCUUCUUUUUUGAGCCAUCCGCGUAUACAAUCAGAGAAUUUCGAUGACUGUCAAUAGAAUUCAUACCUCCAGUGGAUAGACUUUAACUAUAAGCGAAAGCUUGAUUAAGUCAUGGUGUGUAAGAGGAGUCCAACCAGGUGCCAGCAGUCGCGGUUAAACCUGAGUAGCUCAAAUUAAAUUGAAAGCGUAAAAGGUGGAUAGGCAAUGGGAAAUAAGGAAUUGAGGAAGGCGAGGCCAAGAAGAGGGGUGCAAUCCUUAUUUUUGAGGAAAGUGACAACCUUUCUCUAGGCUGUUUCCACGGAAUCGGUGGAGGAGACAUGGAUUAGAGACCCAUUUAUUACCGGCGAAAACUUUGCUUCUCAUCGCUGCUUGGGUACUACGAGCAUGUGCUUAAAACUCAAAGAACUUGGCGGCUUGUUAACUACCUAGGGGAAUAUGUGCCUUAAUCCGAUAGUCCUCGACAUAUUUUACUGGGCCUUGAAAAAUCAGUUGGUGUAUUGCCGUUGUCAGCCUGUUGUUGAGCAAAGAGAAACAGGCUUAAAGGAUUCUUUUAAAAAGUAGAAGAGUUCCUUGAAUUCAGGUCGUAAUACUGCCUAUGGCUCUAGGGAGUGGGUGUUACAAUUUUAAGUUGAAAUACGGACCUUUUUAUGAAAAAGAAGCGAAGGUGAACUUAGGAGUAAGGGAAGAUUAGUAUGCUCCCCUGAACGUGAAUCUAGCUUGUGUACAAACUGCCCGUCGCUCUCGGUAAGAGCUGAGAUAAGUCGUAACAAGGUAGGGGUACUGGAAGGUGCGCCCUGACAUGUGGGGUAGUGUAGUUGCACGCAGGUUUUUGGUUCCUGAAGAGAGAGGUUGUCUCUUUCCCGCAAAGUUGGCCGAAUUAGUAUAAAUAGUACGGGUGGCUUACAUUCACUAAGAAGCCUUUGGCUAUUCGGUUGGUGGUGAGGGUAUUAGUUUGGUCUGUUAGGUUCUAUGUUGUAGUUCUUCUAAGGGUUGCUUAUCUUACCUUAUUUGAGCGGAAAGUUUUAGCGGCUAGGCAAGUUCGUAAGGGCCCCGAGAUGGUUGGGUGGUUGGGGGUUUUUCAGCCCUUUGCUGAUGGGGUGAAACUUUUUAGAAAAGAGUACUUUACUCCUAGGAGAUCUAAUUCCAUUCUUUUCUUCUUAGGUCCUUGCUUAAUGCUUCUUCAUGCUUUUUUCUUGUGGGGUUGUAGGCCGGGGGUCUGGGGAGGUGGUAUUUAUUUUUUUUGGGGCGGCCUUUAUGUCUUGAGAGUUCUAAGAGUCGGGGUGUAUGGAGUGGUUCUUUGUGGUUGGGCUUCGAACUCCCGUUACGCAAUGUUUGGUGCGGUUCGUGCUCUAGCUCAGGUUAUUUCUUAUGAGGUUAUACUUGUUUUCCUAUAUCUAGCUCCCUUUUUCGUUGCUGGAAGUUUAGAUUUAGAAGCUGUAAGGAUUUCUCAGGUGAGGGGUUGCAAUGGGGGAGUCUUGUUUUUAGCUCUUCCUUGAUGGUGUUUUUGCAUUUUAGCCGAGAGAAACCGAGCCCCCUUUGAUUUUGUUGAGGGGGAAUCUGAACUUGUUUCUGGCUUUAAUGUUGAGUAUGGUAGGGGCGGCUUUGGUAUGAUUUUUAUUGCUGAAUACUCUAACAUUAUUUUUUUAAGAAGGCUUACUGGGGUGUUAUUCUUGGGAGGCGGCAAUUUGUUGGCUAAUAGAUAUUAUGGAUUCCUUAUGGGGGGCCUAAUUAGAUCUUUUAUGGGGUUUUUUAUCGUUUUUCUAGUAGUGUUAUGCCGAAGAAGAUUUCCACGGUACCGGUAUGAUUUACUUAUAAAAUUAAUUUGGUGUCAAAUUCUUCCUAUCCUAAUAAGAUUUUUUGGGGUUUUCUUAUUAGUGGUUUAGUGGAGGGUUCAAGGCGAGUAAUCUAGUGGGUAGGUCCUGAGGGGAGCGAGGUUUCGGCCUUCGCUAAGGGGAGCGAAAUUCUCCCCCCUACUCUUGAAUUGUCUAACUGUUAUAUACAAUUUAGUGUUGAUCUAAGUAAAUCAUUUUUUUGGCCUAGUACUGGUGAUAGAAAAGCCAUUGACAGUGAUAGAGAGAAGUAGCGUGAGCGAAAGACUUUAAUCAAGGUAGAAUCAGUGGUGGGCUCUCGUACCUUUUGCAUCAUGGCUUUAUGAGUGUUUAUCCCUAGGAAGAUCCCCGAAAGUUUGGCGAUCUAUUUUUUUACUGAGGUUGGCGUAAUAGGCUAUCUUUAGAUGGAAAAAUAGUGGCGAAAUACCUUUCGCGCUGACUGAUAGCUGGCUGUUUCGUAAAUAUAUUUAAGUAUAGGUUUCAUCAAGCAGGCUGGGGGAAUAAAACCCCCAGCCUUUGAUGGUAGCUCAGUCCCUUCAGGCUAAGCUGAAGGGAACAACUAAAGGUUUAUUAAUAAAAUAAAUAGAAAGUGGGCUUAAAGGAGCUAUCUUUUUAGAGUGGGUUAAUCCUCAAUAUUUUUUAUUAGUGAUCGUAUUUUAUUCCUUUUGUUUGAACGGAACCUCUUCACGAAACUAAAAUGUGAGGGUGAUAAUGUAAAGAUGAGUAGCUAAAUAUGUGGGGUUUGUUAAUUCGGGAAAUUAGACGUAAAACAAAUAAUCUUGAUAAGCAAAGCUAAAGGAACUCGGCAAAAAUGAAAACCGCCUGUUUAACAAAAACAUGGCUCCUUGAUAACAUAAGGAGUCGUGCCUUCCCGGUGAGUUCAAACUUAAACGGAUGCGGUAAAGCGUGCUAAGGUAGCUAAGUUAUGGCCUAGUUAAUUGUAGGCCCUGUGAAUGGUUUGACGAGUUUUCUUCUGUCUCUAGCUUGUUUAAGUGAACUUGAGUUGGAUGUGCAAAUGCUUCCUUGGUAAAGAAAGACGAGAAGACCCCGUGAAGUUAGAAAUUAAUGUGCAGAAUAGUGGGAGGCUACUUUUUCUGCCUUAUAGUUUUGGCUGGGGCAGCAAGGGGGCAAAAGUAGACCCCUUAAAAUUUAAUUCUGGUGAGUAAUGACCCAUAAGGUUUAAGGGUAUGAUUAGUAGAAGAAGUUACUCCGGGGAUAACAGCGUAAUCCGCCUUGACAGUCCUUAUAGAUGGGUGGGUUUGCGACCUCGAUGUUGGCUCUGGAUGUCCUGAAGCUGUAGGCGGUUUCAAGGGUUGGUUCGUUCGCCCAUUAAAAUCCAACGUGAGCUGAGUUCAGAUCGGCGAAAGCUAGGUCGGUUUCUAUCUUCUUUUUAAUGGAAAGCCUUAGGGUACGAAAGGACAUUUGGCUUCAGAGGUUCUGUAAUAGUGAUCUUGUAAUAUAAUUAUAGUAAGUGGUGCGUUGGUCUCGUUGGCUU